rnacentral:rRNA from 1 species
AGUGAACGUUGGCGGCGUGGAUUAGGCAUGCAAGUCGCGCGGAAAGGCCCCGCAAGGGGCACUCGAGCGGCGAAAGGGAUAGUAACACGUGGGUAACCUACCCCAGGACCGGGAUAGCUGCGGGAAACUGCAGGUAAUACCGGAUAACGUCUCCGGACCAAAGGUGUGAUUCCGCCCGGGGAGGGGCCCGCGUCCUAUUAGCUAGUUGGUAGGGUAACGGCCUACCAAGGCAAAGAUGGGUAGGGGGUGUGAGAGCAUGACCCCCAUCACUGGGACUGAGACACUGCCCAGACACCUACGGGAGGCAG